GAUGAACGCUGGCGGCGUGCUUAACACAUGCAAGUCGAACGAUGAAGCCCAGCCUGCUGGGCGGAUUAGUGGCGAACGGGUGAGUAACACGUGAGUAACCUGCCCUUGACUCUGGGAUAAGCCCGGGAAACUGGGUCUAAUACCGGAUAGGAGCGCCUGUCGCAUGACGGGUGCUGGAAAGAUUUUUCGGUCAUGGAUGGACUCGCGGCCUAUCAGCUUGUUGGUGAGGUAACGGCUCACCAAGGCGACGACGGGUAGCCGGCCUGAGAGGGUGACCGGCCACACUGGGACUGAGACACGGCCCAGACUCCUACGGGAGGCAGCAGUGGGGAAUAUUGCACAAUGGGCGGAAGCCUGAUGCAGCGACGCCGCGUGAGGGAUGACGGCCCUUCGGGUUGUAAACCUUCUUUUCAGUAAGGGAAAGAA
rnacentral:rRNA from 1 species